UAANUAGUUGGUGGGGGUAACGGGCUCACCAAGGCGACGAUACAUAGCCGACNUGAGAGGGUGAUCGGCCACAAUGGGACUGAGACACGGNCCAGACUCCUACAGAGGCAGCAGUAGGGAAUNUUGGACAAUGGACGGAAGUNUGACCGAGCAACACCGCGUGAGUGAAGAAGGUUUUCGGAUCNNAAAGCUCUGUUGUAAGNGAAGAACAAGNGUGAGAGUGGAAAGUUCACUCUGUGACGGUAUCUUACCAGAAAGGGACAGCUAACUAUGUGCCAGCAGCCGCGGUAAUANGUAGGUCCCGAGCGUUGUCCGGAUUUAAUGGGCGUNAAGCGAGCGCAGGCGGGUAGAUAAGUCAGAAGUUAAGGGCUGUGGCUUAACCAUAGUACGCUUUGGAAACUGUUUAACUUGAGUGCAAGAGGGGGGAGUGGAAUUCCAUGNGUAGCGGUGAAAUGCGUAGAUAUAUGGAGGAACACCGGUGGGGAAAGCGGCUCUNUGGCUUGUAACUGACGCUGAGGCUUGAAAGCGUGGGGAGCAAACAGG
rnacentral:rRNA from 1 species